rnacentral:tRNA from 1 species
GCCCGGGUGUCGAAAUUAGUAUACGAGCUACCUUGAGGUGGUAGUGCCCGUAAGGGCGUGCAGGUGCGAGUCCUGUCCCGGGCA